rnacentral:tRNA from 1 species
GGGCCGUUAGUAUAUCGGUAAUACACCGCAUUCGCAUUGCGGAGCGGGCGGUUCAAUUCCGCCACGGUCCA